AUUCAUGGCCCAUUCCUGGUUGGUCACCCAGGUGUCUGGUGUCCCAGUGGAGGGGGAGCUGGGAAGCACCCAGCCAGCUCCCUGGAAAUUCCACCCGCUCCCCUCGCAGGGUCCUCAGCUGCCAACUUCCCUGAAAUGAGCUAGGGAGUAAGUGCAGCUUCCCUAGACUCUGCCUGGAACUGUUGUGGUCAAGUCAAUUUCUUAUAAAUCAAAUCAAACGUUAAAUGCAUUAGGGGAAGCAGUUGUUUACAGCCCUAGAAACCUGAAGAACCUCGGAGUAAAGGCAAGAGUUGCUUCAUCCUUGUUGGGAGUUGGGUUUUUGGAUUCAAUCUGACAGUGAUGGGCUGUUUCUGGAGGUGGGAAUGCUGGGGACAGGGUGAACCAGGACCACCUGCAGGGACAACAGAGCCUGCAGAGCCUCUUCCAACCCCUUGCACCCGAUUCCACCCUCCGUUCUCUCCAUCUACAGCCCCUUCCCCUUUGAUCUGUCCUGGGGGUAGGGCUGUGUAAUAGACGUUUGAGGCUCCUGAACAACUCUGGCUUUGUCCAGGCUGGGCGGGAAGCCGGGGACUUGUCAGCUGCACUUCCACUGCCGAGGUCUGGGCUGCUGACCUCAGGCGCAGCUGGGCACUUGCUGAGGCCAAGCCCCUGUGUGUGGGCAUGGUGGCUGGUUGAUUGGCACAUAGGGGUGCGGGUUAAAGUCCAGUACCAGGGCUCUGGGCCCCACCCUGGGCUGCUAUCCUGGAUAUUCAGGCCCUCAGACACUGGCAUGCUGGGUGGGAGGAAAGCUUUUCCCUGCCAGGCCCCUCUGUUGGAGACAAUGACAGACCACUGGUGCCAGUGGGCGGUGGAGGAGGACAUCAUGUAAAGAGCCCCAGCUUCGGAGUCAGCCAGGCUGGGUUCAAUCUGGACUGUGCCAGUUCCCGGCUGUGAGGCCUCAACAAGUUACAUCACCUCUCUGAGCUCCACUCCUCUAGAAUGGGAGUCAGCAUGAGGGUGACAGGCAGGGUCUGUGUAGUGCUGUCACUGUGUGGUAUCACCUCCUCUGGCCACUGGUGCCCACAGUCCUGCAGGAACCUGGCCCUGUCUGCCCCCAGGCUCCCCAGGGAGGAGGGCUGCCAGCUAAGAGGUAGGCCCAGGCCUGAGCCCCACGCAUCUCCUAGGCACGGGGGCUGAUAGAAACGAGGGAGCCAGGAGGGCCACGUGUGGAGGGAGUGGGCACUGCCUGCCUGAGCUGGAACGGGCUUGGAAACAGAUCCCACCCACUGAAAGGUGUGGCCCAUUAGACCAGGACCAAGCAUUCUUUUCUUUCUUCAUUGCCCGGCCUCUUAGUGUCUUUCUACCUAUCUGCUUAGGUGUCCCAGAAAUGUUGCCCUGGACUGUUUCUGAUGGUAUUGAGGUGGGGUUGGAGGGCCGCCUAAGGGAAGGGGCCCAGGAACAGUGGUGGGCUGUCAAGGGUAGGGUCUGGAUGGGCUUCUGAGGCCCCUCACAGCCAGGGAUGGGGGGCUGGCAACAGCAGCCCUCCACUGUGGGAUUCAGGCCACCAUCUCCAUGGCAACAGGUAUCCCCAGCCAAGGGAUUGGUCUCUUAAAGGCACAGUGCUGGAGCUAGACCACUGCUGCCUGGAGCUGGGGGUGAGGGUGGUGGGGUCCGUGUCUCCACACAGCUCACCCUGCUCCUUCCCUCCACUGUUGUACUUGGGGGGCAGACAGGAACAAGGCACCCUGGAAGGCUGAGCUUGUAGCCUCUGCAACCUCCCCAGGGAACAAGUGGCUUUGCUGGAUAUGAAGGUGGCUAAGGGCUGACCUGGGGUCCAGCUUGGUUCCACCCUCCUUAGCUCCAUGACCUUGACUAGUCUAGGCCCCAGUUUCCUCUUCUGGAAGACUAAAGCCCCAAACAGAGAAUAUGAAGACCACAAGAGCUGAUCUGUUGAUGUUACGGAUGGGGGAAACUGAGCUUCCCCUAAAGGGGUCAGCGGGUACUAAGGACAGAGCUGAGCUGAAAAUAAGUUCUUGGCUGGGCGCGGUGGCUCACGUCUGUAAUCCCAGCACUUUGGGAAGCCAAGGCGGGUGGAUCACCUGAGGUCAGGAGUUUGAGACCAGCCUGGCCAACGUGGUGAAACCCCAACUCUACUGAAAAUACAAAAAUUAGUCGGGCAUGGUGGUGGGUGCCUGUAAUCCCAGCUACUUGGGAGGUUGAGGCAGGAGAAUCACUUGAACCCAGGAGGUGGAGGUUGCAGUGAGCCCAGGUUGUGCCAGUGUGGGCGACGGAGCGAGACUCAGUCU
rnacentral:lncRNA from 1 species